rnacentral:rRNA from 1 species
CAGCCGCCACGGGAAUACGUAGGGUGCGGGCGUUAAUCGGAAUUACUGGGCGUAAAGCGUGCGCAGGCGGUUUUGUAAGACAGGCGUGAAAUCCCCGGGCUCAACCUGGGAAUGGCGCUUGUGACUGCAAAGCUAGAGUGCGGCAGAGGGGGAUGGAAUUCCGCGUGUAGCAGUGAAAUGCGUAGAUAUGCGGAGGAACACCGAUGGCGAAGGCAAUCCCCUGGGCCUGCACUGACGCUCAUGCACGAAAGCGUGGGGAGCAAACAGGAUUAGAUACCCGGGUAGUCCCUGUCUCUUAUAC